rnacentral:rRNA from 1 species
UGGGGAAUUUUGGACAAUGGGCGCAAGCCUGAUCCAGCCAUGCCGCGUGAGUGAAGAAGGCCUUCGGGUUGUAAAGCUCUUUCGGACGGAAAGAAAUCGCACGGGCCAAUACCCUGUGUGGAUGACGGUACCGUAAGAAGAAGCACCGGCUAACUACGUGCCAGCAGCCGCGGUAAUACGUAGGGUGCGAGCGUUAAUCGGAAUUACUGGGCGUAAAGCGUGCGCAGGCGGUUGUGCAAGACAGGCGUGAAAUCCCCGGGCUUAACCUGGGAACUGCGCUUGUGACUGCACGGCUAGAGUACGGCAGAGGGGGGUGGAAUUCCACGUGUAGCAGUGAAAUGCGUAGAGAUGUGGAGGAACACCGAUGGCGAAGGCAGCCCCCUGGGCCGAUACUGACGCUCAUGCACGAAAGCGUGGGGAGCAAACAGG